ACGAACGCUGGCGGCGUGCUUAACACAUGCAAGUCGAACGGAAAGGCCCUGCUUUUGUGGGGUGCUCGAGUGGCGAACGGGUGAGUAACACGUGAGUAACCUGCCCUUGACUUUGGGAUAACUUCAGGAAACUGGGGCUAAUACCGGAUAGGAGCUCCUGCUGCAUGGUGGGGGUUGGAAAGUUUCGGCGGUUGGGGAUGGACUCGCGGCUUAUCAGCUUGUUGGUGGGUAGUGGCUUACCAAGGCUUUGACGGGUAGCCGGCCUGAGAGGGUGACCGGCCACAUUGGGACUGAGAUACGGCCCAGACUCCUACGGGAGGCAGCAGUGGAGAAUAUUGCACAAUGGGCGGAAGCCUGAUGCAGCAACGCCGCGUGCGGGAUGACGGCCUUCGGGUUGUAAACCGCUUUCGCCUGUGACGAAGCGUGAGUGACGGUAAUGGGUAAAGAAGCACCGGCUAACUACGUG
rnacentral:rRNA from 1 species